rnacentral:lncRNA from 1 species
AAAAGAAAAAGGAAAGAAGGAAAAAAGAAAAGAAAAGAAAAAGAAAAGAAAAGAAAGGAAAAAAAAGGAAUAAAUAAAUAAAAGGAGGGUGGUUUACGGGUAUGAACCCGGAUCCGAACCCGAACCCGGGGUGCUAGACACUUCGGCAGGGUCGGCCCUGGGAGAAUGUUAAAAUUUAGGUUUUAUAUAUAUAUUGUGAUGAAUUUUAAAAGAAAAUAUGGUUUUUGAAUAUUAGGUUCUGCGAGGGAUUUGCGGAAUUAAUUGGAUUUGUUAUGGAUCGCGUUCGCAAGGUAAGUGAUGUAACCUCUUUACUAGAUUUAUCGGAAAAGUAAAUAUCUGUUUUAUGAAUCAAAUUAUUUGUGAUUACGAAUUUGAUGCAUGGAUUAUAUGUAUAUUUUUUUAGAAUAUUGUAUGACUCUGAUUGAACGUAUUUGCUUCUGGUUUGAAUUGUAUUUAAUUGCUCUGACAUUGUAUUUUUUCAGCUUGAAACACUGAACAUAAUGUAAGAAAAGAUAAUGACUUGAAAUAGAUUCAGACUUGCAGUCGAGCUAUAUUGAGGACCCUGCCAAUGGGGGCUAAUACAUUGGUACCGCAAGAAGAAUAGUCGGUGAUAUGACCCUGCCACAGGGAACAUGUGGUCAUAGUCCUUGGCUGUUGAGUUGAAUCUGGUAAAUUGAAAGAGGUUAAGAUAUGAACGAUAUUUGGUUUUGACUCUGUAUGUUUUUAUAACUGAAAUAUGAAAUAGAGAACUAAUUGAACUAUCGACCUGGCUAUGUUGAGGACCCCGCCAAUGGGGGCAGAUACGUUGGCAAUUGACUGUCCUGNNN